rnacentral:rRNA from 1 species
UGGGGAAUUUUGGACAAUGGGCGCAAGCNGAUCCAGCCAUGCCGCGUGUCUGAAGAAGGCCUUCGGGUUGUAAAGGACUUUUGUCAGGGAAGAAAAGGCUGUUGCUAAUAUCGACAGCUGAUGACGGUACCUGAAGAAUAAGCACCGGCUAACUACGUGCCAGCAGCCGCGGUAAUACGUAGGGUGCGAGCGUUAAUCGGAAUUACUGGGCGUAAAGCGAGCGCAGACGGUUACUUAAGCAGGAUGUGAAAUCCCCGGGCUCAACCUCGGAAAAGCGUUUUUUAACUGGGUGACUAGAGUGUGUCAGAGGGGAGGUAGAAUUCCACGUGUAGCAGUGAAAUGCGUAGAGAUGUGGAGGAAUACCGAUGGCGAAGGCAGCCUCCUGGGAUAACACUGACGUUCAUGCUCGAAAGCGUGGGUAGCAAACAGGAUUAGAUACCCUGGUAGUCCACGCCCUAAACGAUGUCAAUUAGCUGUUGGGCAACUUGAUUGCUUAGUAGCGUAGCUAACGCGUGAAAUUGACCGCCUGGGGAGUACGGUCGCAAGAUUA